GACGUGCUAAUCUGCGAUAAGCGUCGGUAAGGUGAUAUGAACCGUUAUAACCGGCGAUUUCCGAAUGGGGAAACCCAGUGUGAUUCGUCACACUAUCAUUAACUGAAUCCAUAGGUUAAUGAGGCGAACCGGGGGAACUGAAACAUCUAAGUACCCCGAGGAAAAGAAAUCAACCGAGAUUCCCCCAGUAGCGGCGAGCGAACGGGGAGCAGCCCAGAGCCUGAAUCAGUGUGUGUGUUAGUGGAAGCGUCUGGAAAGGCGCGCGAUACAGGGUGACAGCCCCGUACACAAAAAUGCACAUACUGUGAGCUCGAUGAGUAGGGCGGGACACGUGGUAUCCUGUCUGAAUAUGGGGGGACCAUCCUCCAAGGCUAAAUACUCCUGACUGACCGAUAGUGAACCAGUACCGUGAGGGAAAGGCGAAAAGAACCCCGGCGAGGGGAGUGAAAAAGAACCUGAAACCGUGUACGUACAAGCAGUGGGAGCACAGAGCAAUCUGUGUGACUGCGUACCUUUUGUAUAAUGGGUCAGCGACUUAUAUUCUGUAGCAAGGUUAACCGAAUAGGGGAGCCGAAGGGAAACCGAGUCUUAACUGGGCGUUAAGUUGCAGGGUAUAGACCCGAAACCCGGUGAUCUAGCCAUGGGCAGGUUGAAGGUUGGGUAACACUAACUGGAGGACCGAACCGACUAAUGUUGAAAAAUUAGCGGAUGACUUGUGGCUGGGGGUGAAAGGCCAAUCAAACCGGGAGAUAGCUGGUUCUCCCCGAAAGCUAUUUAGGUAGCGCCUCGUGAAUUCAUCUCCGGGGGUAGAGCACUGUUUCGGCAAGGGGGUCAUCCCGACUUACCAACCCGAUGCAAACUGCGAAUACCGGAGAAUGUUAUCACGGGAGACACACGGCGGGUGCUAACGUCCGUCGUGAAGAGGGAAACAACCCAGACCGCCAGCUAAGGUCCCAAAGUCAUGGUUAAGUGGGAAACGAUGUGGGAAGGCCCAGACAGCCAGGAUGUUGGCUUAGAAGCAGCCAUCAUUUAAAGAAAGCGUAAUAGCUCACUGGUCGAGUCGGCCUGCGCGGAAGAUGUAACGGGGCUAAACCAUGCACCGAAGCUGCGGCAGCGACGCUUAUGCGUUGUUGGGUAGGGGAGCGUUCUGUAAGCCUGCGAAGGUGUGCUGUGAGGCAUGCUGGAGGUAUCAGAAGUGCGAAUGCUGACAUAAGUAACGAUAAAGCGGGUGAAAAGCCCGCUCGCCGGAAGACCAAGGGUUCCUGUCCAACGUUAAUCGGGGCAGGGUGAGUCGACCCCUAAGGCGAGGCCGAAAGGCGUAGUCGAUGGGAAACAGGUUAAUAUUCCUGUACUUGGUGUUACUGCGAAGGGGGGACGGAGAAGGCUAUGUUGGCCGGGCGACGGUUGUCCCGGUUUAAG
rnacentral:rRNA from 1 species